rnacentral:antisense_RNA from 1 species
CUUGAUCGAACCCAACCACAACGGCCGGCCGGGUUCCCUGUCCUGUCCGUACGUGGUCAGCAGGGCCUGCACCUC